AUGAUGUCAUCAUCAAUUAUGCCCCUCAAGAGCUUGAGGAUUUUGUUCAUUACUGACCUGGCUUGCUGCACACAACUUCCUGAUGGCUUGUGUCAGCUCCCUUAUUUGGAGAUCAUUCAGAUCGAUCGUGCUCCAGCCAUCAAGCGUAUUGGACCUGAAUUCAUACAGUCCUACCAUCACUACGGUCCCUGUCCUUCCCAGAUGGUGGCUGCAUUUCCGAGAUUGCAUAACAUGAAUUUAGUGAGAAUGGUGGAAUGGGAGGAGUGGGAGUGGGAGGAGCAAAUGCAAGCCUUUCCUGUCUUGCAGAAACUUAUGCUACAACGCUGCAAAUUGAAGUGUCUUCCCCCUGGCCUUGCCUCCCAGGCAAGGGCUUUGAAUAAAUUAUGCAUAUACCAUGUCCACAGUCUCAUCUCUCUAGAGAACUUUCCAUCUCUGGUUGACCUGGAACUGGAUGAAAACCUUGACCUGGAGAUGAUCACUAAUCUUCUAAGACUGCAGAAGCUUACCAUUGAAAACUGCCCAAAGCUGAAGGUGUUGGAGGGCAUUCCUGCACUCCAUAGGUUCGUUCUUGCGUAUAACGACAUGGAAACAAUCCCAAAAUACAUGGGAGGUAUAAACCCCAGGCAUUUGGAGCUAUACUGCAGUCUAGCACUGCUCGUUUCCAUAGCUGCGGGACAAUCUGGCCCUGAGUGGGACAAGUGCAGCCAUGUUGAGCAUGUCAAGGCAUAUGCACGCGAAGGAGGUAAUUCAAGGAAAUGGUAUGUCUUGUACAUAGUUGAUCCCUACAAUUUGGAGACAAAUGUCAGCCGUUCUUUCAUGUCCAGAGGAACCUUAACCUCUUUCGAGGAUGCAGAUCGAUUUGAGUAUGUCUUCAAAAUGUCAAGAAAAACAUUUAGCUACAUCUGCAGCUUGGUUUAUGUGCCAUCAUUGGAAGUUAUGAACAGCUACACCUUUGAUGACGGGAGGUUACUAUCUUUAGAAGACCGAGUAGCCAUUGCUCUGAAAAGGUUGUACUCUAGUGAGCCACCUGAGACCAUAGGAUCCUCUGUCAGUGUGAGUGAGUCAACUGUCUUGUUGGUAAGUGAGAGGUUCGUUGAUGCUGUGUACAAGAGAGCAAAGAACCAUGGGCGCUGGCCAGACUCCAGUAAAAUGGACAACAUCAAAUCCAUGUUUGACAAGAUCCACAAUAUGCAUAACUGCUGUGGUGUUAUAUGUACAACUCACAUCCCAUUUGGACCAAACUUGGACCAUGAGAAGAAUGACAGCAUCCUAGUACAACUCGUCAUUGAUCCAGAGAUGAGGUUCAGGGCCAUUUGGUGGGGACGAGUAAGCAGCAUGAACCAGUCAAGCAUUUUGCAUGAAUCUUAUUUGUUCAAGGAGUGCGAGAAGGGUGCCUGGCUGAAUGGCGGCAAGCUGAAGGUUGCAGUAGAUGGAUCAGAAGUCGGGGAAUAUAUAGUUGGUGAUGCAGGAUACCCUCUUCUCCCCUGGCUACUCACACCUUACCAUGAAGAAGACCUCUCAGACUCCAAGGCGGAGUUCAAUAGGAGACACAACGCAGCCACAACCUGCGCUCAGAAGGCGUUGACAAGGUUCAAAGACACAUGGAAGUACCUGCAGGGAGAGACGUCGUGCCCUGUCAGUCCGGACAGUCUGGUUGCCACAAUCCAUGCCUGCUGCUACUUGCAUAACAUAGUCAUAGAUAUGGAGGAUGAUGGGGCCAUGCCAAGCGUUGAGGAGCCGGAUUAUUAUGGGGAAGUGCGUCAGUUAGCAAAUGAGGAUGCUGUCAGGGCGAGGGAUAUGCUUUCACUGUACUUCUUGAAAAUCAUGUCAUCCGAAUCAGUAGUUGGCCAGGUGGAUAUGGAGAACGACCUUGAAGUCGCUGCAACAGGCUCAGGCGAUGAAGACAAGGAAGAAAAAAAGCACAGACAGGAACAUCAGAGGAAGAGAGACAUGAUGAUGACCAGGAUAACAUUAUCUAAGAAAUAUUUCUUUCUGCCACAUCUUGUUUCUAGAUGGUAG
rnacentral:rRNA from 1 species